rnacentral:rRNA from 1 species
AUGGUAUGUUUUAACUGUCGUGGCCCUGGGCACUACGUGGGCAACUGUGUUAGGCCUAAAGCUUGUUUUAUCAGCCAACAAUCCCACAAUGUGAACAACUGCUCUGUUUGGACUAGGGUUCAACCCACUGCAGCUUUCUUUGGCAGUGGUGCUAGUGGUUUAGGUUUUUACCAUGUUGAAGUUCCUGUGGCAAAUGAAUCCAAAUGGAUCAAUUUCCAGAACUGUGGUGUGGUUAACAUUACCAAAGGUGAGGUGGACAAAGAUAAACUGAUGAACCUUCUGACUGCUACCUUUUGUAAAACAAGGGCUUGGCCUUGGCAGAUUAGGAAGUUAUCAGACAAGGAGUUCUUAGUUAGAUUCCCUCCAUGGAAGAAAGUAGAGGAUUCAAUUGAACUGCAUGGUUUUAGUUUACCCCAAGAUGUUUCUGUUAACAUGACUGAAUGGGCUGGGUCUUGUGACCCUUUUGGUGAGCUUACUAAGGCAUACAUGCUUGAGGGGAUUCCUCCCAUGUGGUGCUCUUGGAAAGUGUUUACACAAAUUGCAUCAAUGUUUGGAGUUCUCACUGAUGUGGAUUGGAAUGGUAUGUUCAGGACAUUUUAUGAGAAUGUCAGGAUUAAGAUUGCUUGUAGAGACCCUAAGAAAAUUCCUUUUGAGAGGUUAAUUGAGAUGAAGAAGAAGCUAUUCUUGCUUGGCUUCACUUUGGAAUGCUUUGAG